GACGAACGCUGGCGGCGUGCUUAACACAUGCAAGUCGAACGGAAAGGCCCUGCUUUUGUGGGGUGCUCGAGUGGCGAACGGGUGAGUAACACGUGAGUAACCUGCCCUUGACUUUGGGAUAAUUUCAGGAAACUGGGGCUAAUACCGGAUAGGAGCUCCUGCUGCAUGGUGGGGGUUGGAAAGUUUCGGCGGUUGGGGAUGGACUCGCGGCUUAUCAGCUUGUUGGUGGGGUAGUGGCUUACCAAGGCUUUGACGGGUAGCCGGCCUGAGAGGGUGACCGGCCACAUUGGGACUGAGAUACGGCCCAGACUCCUACGGGAGGCAGCGGUGGGGAAUAUUGCACAAUGGGCGGAAGCCUGAUGCAGCAACGCCGCGUGCGGGAUGACGGCCUUCGGGUUGUAAACCGCUUUCGCCUGUGACGAAGCGUGAGUGACGGUAAUGGGUAAAGAAGCACCGGCUAACUACGUG
rnacentral:rRNA from 1 species